UACGGAGGGUGCAAGCGUUGUCCGGAUUUAUUGGGUUUAAAGGGUGCGUAGGUGGGUAUUUAAGUCUGGUUUGAAAGCAAGCGGCUUAACCGUUUGAUGUGGCUGGAAACUGGAUAUCUUGAAUGGGUUGGCGGUAGCCGGAAUGGGUCAUGUAGCGGUGAAAUGCAUAGAUAUGACCCGGAACACCGAUUGCGAAGGCAGGCUACUACGACUUGAUUGACACUGAGGCACGAGAGCAUGGGUAGCGAACAGG
rnacentral:rRNA from 1 species